rnacentral:lncRNA from 1 species
CUGGUAAGUUCUUAUGUUUUUUGUAGUUCAGGUUCUUUUUUCAUGUCCUUGGAAUAUUUUCUGAACAAUUUGGAGAAUUUAAUUCACAAGGGUAUCAGUUGUUAUUGUUAUGUAAAUUUGAUGUGUAUCAAUUGUGCCUGCUGGAAAAUCUUAGACACAAGAAACGCCAAAUCUUUAUGUGAAUUUUGCUUUCUUUCAGGA